UCUUCCACAAUGGACGAAAUUCUGAUGGAGCAACUCCGCGUGAGUGAAGUAGGUUUUCGGAUCGUAAAGCUCUGUUGUGAGGGAAGAACAAGUACAGGAGUCACUGUCUAUACUUUGACGUUACCUCACUAGAAAGCCACGGCUAACUACGUACCAGCAGCCGCGGUAAUACGUAGGUGGCAAGCGUUGUCCGGAAUUAUUGGGCGUAAAGCGCGCGCAGGCGGUCCUUUAAGUCUGAUGUGAAAGCCCACGGCUCAACCGUGGAGGGUCAUUGGAAACUGGAGGACUUGAGUACAGAAGAGGAAAGCGGAAUUCCACGUGUAGCGGUGAAAUGCGUAGAGAUGUGGAGGAACACCAGUGGCGAAGGCGGCUUUCUGGUCUGUAACUGACGCUGAGGCGCGAAAGCGUGGGGAGCAAA
rnacentral:rRNA from 1 species